rnacentral:antisense_RNA from 1 species
UUCUAUGGCGGGCCGGGCGGGGCAGCCUUCGGGCUGGCCGGUUCCAUAGUGCCGGUAUUCCUACCCCCGUUCGGACUGCCACCCAC